UACAGAGGGGGCAAGCGUUAUUCGGAAUUAUUGGGCGUAAAGGGCGCGUAGGCGGCCAUUCAAGUGACGGGUGAAAGCCCUCGGCUUAACCGAGGAACUGCCUGUCAGACUGGGUGGCUCGAGACCGGGAGAGGUGAGUGGAAUUCCCAGUGUAGCGGUGAAAUGCGUAGAUAUUGGGAGGAACACCAGUGGCGAAGGCGGCUCACUGGACCGGAACUGACGCUGAGGCGCGAAAGCGUGGGGAGCAAACAGG
rnacentral:rRNA from 1 species